rnacentral:tRNA from 1 species
AAAGAAUUAGUUAAAAUAACAUUAAAUUGUCAAUUUAAAAUUAUUAUAUAAAUAAUAUUCUUUU